rnacentral:lncRNA from 1 species
AGCAGCAGUGGCAGCGGCGGCGGCGGCGGCGGCAGGCAGUGAAGCUCUUCUCGUCUUCGCUGGGCUGGGGCAGUAUACCCAAACUCGGCUUUGCCAGGCCCUGCAUAUCUCCAGAAGGAAAUGGAAGAACACGGAUCAGCGCUUGGUGACUCAGGAGACCUUGGCAUCCCUGCUUUAUACUCCCCGUCUUCUUAAGAGGCCCACAAAACACCAGCAAGGCCAUUGAGUUGGCAGCCACGGCAGAUGCCUCAUGAAGCCUAUGGGGAAUGGCUGUAGCGUGGUGGUGAUUUGACCCAGGCGAGAAGGAACUGGUGGAAUCGAUGAUGGAUGACACCACAGGCCACUCCUCAUAGCUGAUGGCUUCUUUCCCAGAACAGGGGACAGAUACCUCAAUCCUCCUUCCAA